GACGAACGCUGGCGGCGUGCUUAACACAUGCAAGUCGAACGGCAAGGCCCUGCUUUUGUGGGGUGCUCGAGUGGCGAACGGGUGAGUAACACGUGAGUAACCUGCCCUUGACUUUGGGAUAACUUCAGGAAACUGGGGCUAAUACCGGAUAGGAGCUCCUGCUGCAUGGUGGGGGUUGGAAAGUGUCGGCGGUUGGGGAUGGACUGGCGGCUUAUCAGCUUGUUGGUGGGGUAGUGGCUUACCAAGGCUUCGACGGGUAGCCGGCCUGAGCGGGUGACCGGCCACAUUGGGACUGAGAGACGGCGCAGACUCGUACGGGAGGCAGCAGUGGGGAAUAUUGCACAAUGGGCGGAAGCCUGAUGCAGCGACGCCGCGUGCGGGAUGACGGCCUUCGGGUUGUAAACCGCUUUCGCCUGUGACGAAGCGUGAGUGACGGUAAUGGGUAAAGAAGCACCGGCUAACUACGUG
rnacentral:rRNA from 1 species